ensembl:lncRNA
UCCCAGCCUUCCCACUGGCUAGUGAGCUGUUGGAGGAAAAGGUGCUUGAGUUUUUCAUCUUGUGCCUCUUUCCCACAUAGCACUGUACCUUGCACGUUCUAAGCCUCCUCAAAAGAGUGUGUGGAUCCAAAUGGCAGCUUUUCAGGAACUGUUUUUAAUUUUCUUUGAGAAGAACAGACAAAGUGAAGGCUCAGAAAUGAGAAAGAAAGAAAUCAGUAUUGUCAUUUGCUGCUGCUGGUGGUAUCUGCUCAGUCAUGUCUGCCCUGUGGUCUGUCCAUGGAAUUCUCCAGGAAAAUAUGCUCUUCUGGUGUUUGAUGUUCCAAAGAGAUCCCUCCAGCAAGGAGUUAAGGUCGGAUGUGGCCUAGUGCCCAGUGAGAUCCAGUGGGAGGCUAAAGGAAGGCAGUGGAUGAAGCGGUGCGGAAAAUGUUCUUUCCAAAUCUUACUUAUUCCCCCAAGAUGGGCCCCUGCUCUAACAUUUACCCUGGGCCUUAUAAUAGCAUUUGGGGAGUCAUUAAAAGCUUUUGGUGUCACUAUUUUAAUUAAGAGCGAAAGUCCUGCAUGCGCCAGACACAGUGAGGCUCUGUUACUAGUGGUCACUGGGGAGAAAUGGAAUGUCAAGUAAGUGCAGACUCUUGGCUACAGAGUCCUAGAACCCCUUCCUUAAAGCCUGCUUCAGAAGAUUACUUCAUCUAGCCAGGACGGUGAACUUGAUCCACUAAAAUGAAAGGUGGCUCAUUCUCUCGAAAUCUGUAUCUGUAUCCUUACCUCUAUCUAUAACAUUCACGUCCACUGAAAUGCUGCAAUACACGGUCAAAUAAUGAAUGAGUUUAUGUUUUUUGAUAAAGAUUGCAAAAGUGUUGCGACAUUGGAUCUGCAAAAAGCUAGACUCAAAUCUUAAAAUAUGACUUAUGACAGCUGCUGCCACAUUUGGAGCCUUAAUUUUUAAGCUUCAUCCUUGAAUCCCUCGCUUACAGAAGAUACGCCAAAUGGCAGCCAGGGAGGCAAUACAAGGCACAGCACUGUAUCGUCUUUCAAGACUGUGCAACUGUAUUCUUUUCUUGACAAACACUACUUUGAGAGUAUACUUUCUUCAGGCUACCUCUCUUCACCUUUUAUGAUAAACAAAGCAACCCUUUUUUUCAAAUCCUUCAUUUAUUAUGAUGUACAAUUGCUAAAUGAGCAGAUUCUGUAACCCAACCCCACUCUCCCAGCUUUGGAGGGGAUCCAGGGAUAUUUACUUUAAGCACAGUGCAGUCUUACUGUAAUAAAAUACUGUAUGCACAUUUCCCA